rnacentral:lncRNA from 1 species
UUUGGAUCCAUAAGGUGAACCUUGAGGUCACUGUUCUCUCUCCUCUCUGUGGAGCUUCCAGCCUACUCACCCAAGUGCAGCAGCGUCCAGCAUCUCUCCUCCUAGUUCACAACCCCUGAAAGGGUAUCCUGAUGUAUGAUUUGCAAGGUGCUCCUCAGCUUUCAAGAGGGAUGCACUGCUGCUCUUACUUCUGUGCCUCCCUGUUCGGAUUGUGUCUGUAGAGCAUUUUCUUUUCCCACUGGAGAGAACUACCUAACUUGUCCCAUUCUAUGCUAAUCAUCUGCUGAAGGACUUGCUAAAGUAACUGCAGAGAAAUAAUAAAUUCUGUGAGAUGCAAGCGAAAACA